rnacentral:rRNA from 1 species
CAAUAGCGUAUAUUAAAGCUGUUGCGGUUAAAAAGCUCGUAGUUGGAUUUCUGUCAAGGACAACUGGUCCGCCCUCCGGGUGAGCACAUAGUUUGGUCUUGACAUCUUGCUGGAAGCUGUUGCUGCACUUGGCUGUGUGGCGCAGUGUUCAGCACUUUCACUUUGAGGAAAUUGGAGUGUUUCAAGCAGGCACAUGCCUUUGGACACAGUAGCAUGGAAUAAUUAGAUUGGGCUUUUGCUCCAAUUUGUCGGUUUCUGGAGCUGAGGUGAGUAUUAAUGGGGAUUGUUGGGGGCAUCCGAAUUUAGCCGUCAGAGGUGAAAUUCUUGGAUUUGUUAAAGACGGACUACUGCGAAAGCAUUUGCCAAGGAUGUUUUCAUUGA